AUUGAACGCUGGCGGCAGGCCUAACACAUGCAAGUCGAACGGUAACAGGAAGCAGCUUGCUGCUUUGCUGACGAGUGGCGGACGGGUGAGUAAUGUCUGGGAAACUGCCUGAUGGAGGGGGAUAACUACUGGAAACGGUAGCUAAUACCGCAUAACGUCGCAAGACCAAAGAGGGGGACCUUCGGGCCUCUUGCCAUCGGAUGUGCCCAGAUGGGAUUAGCUAGUAGGUGGGGUAACGGCUCACCUAGGCGACGAUCCCUAGCUGGUCUGAGAGGAUGACCAGCCACACUGGAACUGAGACACGGUCCAGACUCCUACGGGAGGCAGCAGUGGGGAAUAUUUCACAAUGGGCGCAAGCCUGAUGCAGCCAUGCCGCGUGUAUGAAGAAGGCCUUCGGGUUGUAAAGUACUUUCAGCGGGGAGGAAGAGAGUAAAGUUAAUACCUUUGCUCAUUGACGUUACCCGCAGAAGAAGCACCGGCUAACUCCGUG
rnacentral:rRNA from 1 species